rnacentral:rRNA from 1 species
UACGUAGGGCGCAAGCGUUGUCCGGAUUUAUUGGGCGUAAAGAGCUCGUAGGCGGUUUGUCGCGUCGGAUGUGAAAACCCGGAACUCAACUCCGGGCCUGCAUUCGAUACGGGCAGACUUGAGUACUGCAGGGGAGACUGGAAUUCCUAGUGUAGCGGUGGAAUGCGCAGAUAUCAGGAGGAACACCGGUGGCGAAGGCGGAUCUCUGGGCCUGUCCUGACGCUGAGGUGCGAAAGCUAGGGGAGCGAACAGG